AUGGCACCGCACUCCCCCGCCGUGAAGCUCCAGUCCCGCGCCGCGCCGGCGCCGUCGUCGGCGAUGGGCGCGCACCGGUGGUCCCGCCCCAUCGCCAAGGGCCCGCCGCGCAAGAUCAGGAUCGUGCACGUCCUGGCGCCGGAGGUGAUCAAGACGGACGCGCGGCACUUCCGCGAGCUCGUGCAGCGCCUCACCGGGAAGCCGAAAGGCGGAGGGGUCGGCGGAGGGGCGUCCUCGUCGUCCUCGUCGCGGUCGCCCGAGAGCGCCGCGGCGGAGUCGUCGUCCCAGCAGCAGGCGGCGGCAGGCGGCUCGUCGUCCGUCGCGGUCGCGGUCGCCCCCGAGGCGGCGGCGGGGGGGACCGUCAAGGCGGAGGUGAAGGAGGAGGACGCCGCGUCGCCGGAGGGCGGGUUCGGGGAGGCGGGGGGCACGGCGACGAACGACGCCUUCUUCCAGGACCUCGACGAGUUCCUCCUCGGCGGAUGGCUUUAG
rnacentral:rRNA from 1 species